GACGAACGCUGGCGGCGUGCUUAACACAUGCAAGUCGAACGGAAAGGCCCUGCUUUUGUGGGGUGCUCGAGUGGCGAACGGGUGAGUAACACGUGAGUAACCUGCCCUUGACUUUGGGAUAACUUCAGGAAACUGGGACUAAUACCGGAUAGGAGCUCCUGCUGCAUGGUGGGGGUUGGAAAGUUUCGGCGGUUGGGGAUGGACUCGCGGCUUAUCAGCUUGUUGGUGGGGUAGUGGCUUACCAAGGCUUUGACGGGUAGCCGGCCUGAGAGGGUGACCGGCCACAUUGGGACUGAGAUACGGCCCAGACUCCUACGGGAGGCAGCAGUGGGGAAUAUUGCACAAUGGGCGGAAGCCUGAUGCAGCAACGCCGCGUGCGGGAUGACGGCCUUCGGGUUGUAAACCGCUUUCGCCUGUGGCGAAGCGUGAGUGACGGUAAUGGGUAAAGAAGCACCGGCUAACUACGUG
rnacentral:rRNA from 1 species